rnacentral:rRNA from 1 species
UGAGGAAUAUUGCGCAAUGGGCGAAAGCCUGACGCAGCAACGCCGCGUGGAGGAUGAAGGCCCUCGGGUCGUAAACUCCUGUCAGGUGGGACGAAUCUACCGGUCGUAAAUAGCGGCCGGAAUUGACGGUACCGCCAGAGGAAGCCCCGGCUAACUCCGUGCCAGCAGCCGCGGUAAUACGGGGGGGGCAAGCGUUGUUCGGAAUUAUUGGGCGUAAAGGGUGUGUAGGCGGCCAUGUAAGUCUAAGGUGAAAGCCCUCGGCUUAACCGGGGAAGUGCCCUAGAUACUGCAUGGCUUGAGUGCGAGAGAGGAGAGUGGAAUUCCCAGUGUAGCGGUGAAAUGCGUAGAUAUUGGGAAGAACACCAGUGGCGAAGGCGGCUCUCUGGACCGCAACUGACGCUGAAACACGAAAGCCAGGGGAGCAAACGGG